rnacentral:lncRNA from 1 species
GUUUGUAGAGAACUCAGUGUGGGGCUGUUUCUCUUAAGAACUUGUCACCUAGCCAACUGCUGCUCUGAAGAAGAAGAAGAAGAAGAAGAAGAAGAAGAAGAAGAAGAAGAAGAAGAAGAAGAGAAGAAAAGAAAUUUUUCAAAGACAAAAUGAAGAAUGUUAAAAUGAAGUGACCAUCUUGAAUCAUUAUCUGAGCAAGCCUGAAGUAACCAUCUAGCCCUUUGAUAUAAGGUCAGAGGAUGCUGUUGCUGGCUUUGAAGAUGGACAAGAGGACCACGAGCCAAAGAGCACAUGUCUGCAUGCUGGAAAAGCCUAAGAAAAGGACUCUUCCCUGGAGACUCCAGGGGGUGUGAGCCCUGCCACACCUUGAUUCUAAACACUGCUGCCCAAGAUCCAUUUCACCCUUCAGAACUGAGGGGCAAAGGACUGCCUCUGAUAGACAGGGACAGGUGGGGCACGAAAACGGCAGUUUAUAAAGGUUGUAUUUGUGGGUGUUUAUUCAUCCUGCUGAGGAGACAUAAACAGAGAAGUCUAUUCAGCCCAGAUAGAGCACCAAUGCCAAACCAAAGCACUUGCUCUCAACCUUCCCAAUACUUGGGGUCCUUCAGUACAGUUCCUCAUGCUAUGACCCCCCAACCAUAAAAUUAUUUUGUUGCUACUUCAUAAGUGUAUUUUUGCUACUGUUAUGAAUCAUAAUGUACAUGUCUGAUAUUUGGGAUAUCUGAUAUGCAACCCCCAAAGGAGUUGUGACCCACAGUUUGAGAACCACUGGACCAAAGAAUCAUCCCAUCCAAACCCAGUCUAGUGAACCAGUGAGUCUAUUGGGGUUACUUUCAGCAGCAUAAAUGCAAAGCCCAGUCCUCCAUGGGUGACAGCUCACAGAAGGCCAAAGCCCUGGACCUCCCUGCUUCCUGCACAAACUUGCAGCCAGCUGUGCCAAUCAGAGAGUCAUUUCCACCCAGCAAUCACUCACUGCUGUUUUUUUGUUUGGGUUUGUUUUUUCUUUUUUAGACAGGGUCUUGUGUAUCCCAAGCAAGCCUGAAGCCUAGCUAGCUAUGUAGUUGAACAUGACCUUGAAGUUUCUGAUUCUCCUGCCUCUACCUCCCAAGUGCUGAGAUUACAGGAGUGCUUAAGUAUGCUUGGUUUCUGUGGUUCUGGGACUGGAACCCAGGCAUCACAUAUGCUUAGCAAGCACUCCAUCAAUGGAACUACAAGCCCAGCCCUGCUUUUAUAAUCUUGAGGAGGGACUUUGUGAGUCCUGUAGGCCUCAGGAGCUUCCCAAACCACGUUAAAUUUCCUUUACUUCCUAAAUCUUGAGUCUCCUUCC